UACGAAGGGGGCUAGCGUUGCUCGGAAUCACUGGGCGUAAAGGGUGCGUAGGCGGGUCUUUAAGUCAGGGGUGAAAUCCUGGAGCUCAACUCCAGAACUGCCUUCGAUACUGAGGACCUUGAGUCCGGGAGAGGUGAGUGGAACUGCGAGUGUAGAGGUGAAAUUCGUAGAUAUUCGCAAGAACACCAGUGGCGAAGGCGGCUCACUGGCCCGGUACUGACGCUGAGGUGCGAAAGCGUGGGGAGCAAACAGG
rnacentral:rRNA from 1 species